AAUAAAAAAAAAAGAAAAUAAAAGGGUGAUGUGAUAAAUAGUCACCACCUUAGCAAAUAAACAAGCUUGGGGGUGCAUUUUUUCUUACACUAGUAGAAAAAAUGAAAUAGGCACCGCACUUUUUGCACCGGUUCUUGAAAAUCGGUGGGAAAAGAAAUCGGCAGGAUUGGAAAAAAGACUUUUCCCACCGGUUCUAACCAAACCGGUGGAAAAAGUAUGUUUUUCGCACCGGUUCUAACAAAACCGGUGGGAAAAGUGAGUGAUUCGGACCGGUUCAUUUCAAACCGGUGGGAAAACUGUUAUUAAAAAAAAAAAAAAACCUCUUAUAUUCUUCUUUCUUUCUCUUUCAAUUCCUCGAUCUUUCCUCCUCUCUCGUCUGAGCUACCUCUCUCUCCUCUCCCUCUCCUCCAUUAAAACGAAUCUCUUUGUACUCAUUCCUCUCUCUCUGUACUCCUUCAUAUCUUUCUCCCUGUACUCCUUCCUCUCUCCGUCCUCCAUUUAAGCGUUUCUCGCUGUACUCCUUCCUCUCUCUCUCCUCCAUUUAAGCGUACUCGAAAUUCUCCAUUGAAAGGGCUUCUGAGCUUUCUCUCCUUCAUUGAAGCAGUCUCUAAGAUGAGUAUGUUAUAUGUAAUGGGUGUAAGAGCUCAUAUACCAUAUUGUCGAAGGAAAAUCGACUCUUCUUCCUCAGAUGUGAACAGGUCCAGCUUUUGAUGGUAAACGUUCUGAAGAAUCUGACAAAAUUAUUGAAGAAUAGCAAUAGCAGUAGUGAAAUUAUACAGAGGUUGCCCUAUAUUUAAACACCCCUUGUUUUUCACAUGGACGGCUUUAUGUUGGUCUAUGAUCAGAGUUGGCUGCAGAAAUAGAGAAAAUCGAUUUAUAAAUGAUGGAUUUAGGAGGGAGUUAGCAGGAUUGACGAUAUAGUGACUUAAAAUGCAAAACACGUGGCUUAUAGGUGCUGUAAUACAGAAGUUCAUAGGUGAACUUUUAAUCAAGUAGACAGAUUAUUAUUCAUUCAGAUUGGACCAUCAAAUCACAUGUUCUUACAAAGCAAGGAGUUCUAACAUGGAUUUACAAAGCAAAGCAAUGCAAGCAGUAGCAGAAUAACAAUAGCAGAACAGCAAGCAGAACACAAAGUAGCAGAAGCAGAACAAUAGUAGCAGAAGCAGUAGCAGAACAGCAGUAGCAGUAGCAGAAGCAGAACAGCAGUAGUUAUGAUAUCCUGGCUGUGAUAGUUCUUGGAGUUAUCGGAGGUGUUCAGGGCAGCUUUUAUAAUUAUCUUGUUGACAUGCACUAUCGUUCACAACGUUGUAGCACCAGGCCCAGCAAAACAGCUAUAUGUUUUUUUUUUCAGUUUUUAAUGUGUAAUAUUACAAGUU